rnacentral:lncRNA from 1 species
AGUAAUUUUGUCGCUAGUUACUGUAUUACUGGAAAAUGUAUUCCUAGGCUUUAAGAUUUGGGAAGCAUGUGAGUCUAACUUCUCAAACAGAAUUUGACAAGGACGUAGCAGUGUUUUAAAAAGUCAGGGAAAGGAAAGAGGUGUGUUCAGCAUUCCUGCCCCAUCUUAACAUAUUCUUUUUCUCGUCUUAACAGUGGUAAUAUUUUAUGUUAUUUUGGUUUGAUUUUUGUUUGUGGCAUAUGGCUCUGCUGUCCUGUGACUCUAAGUAGAAGAGAAAAUAGUGCCAAUAAUUUCUUCGUGGAGAUGCACCUCUCUCUCUUAAGUCUUGAACAAUGUUUGAGGAAAAGUGCUUUCAGCUGGGCUGAUGAGAACACCUUGGCACUCUUUCCUGCAAUGGGCACUGAUUGAGGGUCUUCCUGGUGUGGCAUCAUCAAAUCCCUGUUGCUCAAACCCACUAAUUAGCUCGUUCUUAUCUACAAGUAGCAGGGGCCCUAAAGCUCUCUGAGAAGAUCUCAUACUGUGUCUCCUACAUUUCAUCUUCUAUAAUCUCUUAUUCUUAGAGACAGAAAGAUGGCUAAAAGACAUCACUUCAUUUCUUUCUCUGGAUUUGGAAAGAGUUAUAUACUGGGAUUAUGCUGUUAGUUUACACUUGCAUUGUUUAAAUUAGAGGAAAGGUUAUUUUGUGCAGAACAAAUAAAAAUUACUCUUUAACUACCUUUCAGAAUAUCCCAACUUUUAACAUAAACUGUUUUGUAAAGGCUGGUUGUAGUGA